UAUCNUGGUAAAACUCAAAGUAAAUUCAAUCAAAUUGGUUUUGCUUUGGACUUGGAGGCCUUGCAGGUUUCACGUCUGCUCCUCUUAAAUGCAUUAGCUGGAUCUCAGUAUUAUACUUGGUUCCACUCGGCGUGAUAAGUAUCACUCGCUGAGGACACUGUAAAAAAGUGGCCAGGAAAAUACCGAUCGAACCGCUUCUAACGGUCUAUUAAGUUAGACAAUUUACCCCAAGGUUUGACCUCAAAUCAGGUAGGACUACCCGCUGAACUUAAGCAUAUCAAUAAGCGGAGGAAAAGAAACUAACAAGGAUUCCCCUAGUAACGGCGAGUGAAGCGGGAAGAGCUCAAAUUUAAAAUCUGGCGGUGUAUUCCGUCCGAGUUGUAGCCUAGAGAAGCAUCAUCCGCGCUGGACCAUGUACAAGUCUCUUGGAACAGAGCGUCAUAGAGGGUGAGAAUCCCGUCCUUGACAUGGACUCCCAGUGCUUUGUGUUGUGCUCUCGACGAGUCGAGUUGUUUGGGAAUGCAGCUCAAAAUGGGUGGUAAAUUCCAUCUAAAGCUAAAUAUUGGCGAGAGACCGAUAGCGAACAAGUACCGUGAGGGAAAGAUGAAAAGCACUUUGGAGAGAGAGUUAAACAGUACGUGAAAUUGUUGAAAUGGAAACGCUUGAAGUCAGUCGCGUUCUCUGGGAUUCAGCCUUGCUUCUGCUUGGUGCAUUUCCCAGUCUACGGGCCAGCAUGAAUCUUGACCGGUGGAAAAAGGUUUGGGGAAUGUAGCACCNCUGGGUGUGUUAUAGCCCCUUGCUGUAUACACUGGUUGGGAUUGAGG
rnacentral:rRNA from 1 species